rnacentral:tRNA from 1 species
AGUUGAAAAGGACUAAGCGGCUCUUCUAAAGCCGGUGUCGUAGGUUCGAUUCCUAUCGAGG